rnacentral:sRNA from 1 species
CACCCAUGGACCGAGAAGAACUACCUAGGUACAGAAGCUUGUUUGAUGUGAAUCCAGCCAGCAUUUCGGCUUGCACUGUGGCAACAGGGCGUUAUUUAGAACGAUCCAAAUCUUCUCUUCCUGAUCACGAGUAGAGUUUUUUUGUUCUCAUAGGACCAACAUGCCCUCCUGACAUAUGGGACAAUGCCUCUGACGCAGAUGACUGGAGAUUCAUGUUCUCUGCUUGCUUUGCUAGUUUGGGAUGUCAUGUAAAAGCCACAAAGGAGACAGGUCAUGAGUAAUCUGUAUUUAUUGAUGAUAUAUCUUUAGUCGCCAGAAUGAUCUAACUACGGGAUCCACUAUACGUUUUCUAGCCAUCUUAGGAUUGCUCGCAUCAUGACUCCAUCAUGAUACCCCAACGCGGCAUCCAGGGCGGGCUGGACAUGGACUUCCCCCUCACACUCUACAAAAAUGAAGUCCUUCCCGCCAAGAACACUGCAAUCAGUUUCACGCCGGGCGGCAACAGUCUGUGCCCUUACGCAAUCCCUAGCGAACCUCCUGCAACUGUCCAGAAGAACUUCCGCCGUGCCUGCUGUCACCAUUGCAUUCUUGACCAGACCUGGCGAUCCCUUUGGUGACGGAAACACUUGACUCCAGACAUCUUCAGCGCCUUCCCCUUCGCAUAGAUCUGCCCAUACAUCUUCCUCGGUAGGAAUCCACAAUCCCUUAAGCCAGGACACUCCAGUCCGAUUGAUAUAGUCUUUCUCAGCAUUCGUCUCAUAGCUCCCUUGAUCCACCCUCAUCGUAGUCCAGGGGCUCACAAACAGCACAGCUCUAAACCUGCCACCAUUGAUAUCCAGUGGUGCAGCGUAAGGCGAUGUCUUGACUAUGUGCGCCAACAACGCGCCCGCCAGGUGGCCGCCCGCGCUGUCGCCAGCAAGUAUGAUGUCUUCAGCUGGCAAUGACAAGUCCUUUAGAAGGUACCGAAGCGCAGACACUGCUUGAACAAGUUGAACUGGGUAUCGAUGCUCCGGGGCUAGAGCAUACUCGAGGAAGACUACUUCUCUGGCCUUGCAGGCUGCGGCACACCGAAGGACAAACGGCAUAUGAGCAAUGGCCCUGAGAGGGUUGACAUAGCCGCCGCCAUGGAAAUACAGCAACACCGGCCCAUCUGCUGUGGCUGAGGGGGGCGUGACAAAGUGCAAGGUUGGCGGUGGCGCAUAUACACCCGAGCCCGCUUUGCUCUCAGUGGGGAUAGUAUGGUUCACGAGUAUUGUUUUAAGCGGGAUUCUGUGCCUGGUGCAGUAGCUCUUGAUUGCCGACCCUGUUGGAUUGUUUCGAAGGCCAUGGGUCAGCUGGUGGAAGGAAAAUGUAGCCGUUUGCACUUGGAGAUAUGUAAUGGAUAGCCUUUGGCGCC